GAGGGGGGGUUAACCUAUAAGAACUGCUAAUUCUUACAUCUGAGUAUGAAACCUCAGCCCCCUUA
rnacentral:tRNA from 1 species